AUUGAACGCUGGCGGCAUGCCUUACACAUGCAAGUCGAACGGCAGCGGACCUUCGGGUGCCGGCGAGUGGCGAACGGGUGAGUAAUAUAUCGGAACGUACCUUUCAGUGGGGGAUAACGUAGCGAAAGUUACGCUAAUACCGCAUAUUCUGUGAGCAGGAAAGCAGGGGAUCGCAAGACCUUGCGCUGAUUGAGCGGCCGAUAUCAGAUUAGCUAGUUGGUGAGGUAAAGGCUCACCAAGGCGACGAUCUGUAGCGGGUCUGAGAGGAUGAUCCGCCACACUGGAACUGAGACACGGUCCAGACUCCUACGGGAGGCAGCAGUGGGGGAAUAUUGGACAAUGGGGGCGAACCCUGAUCCAGCCAUGCCGCGUGUGUGAAGAAGGCC
rnacentral:rRNA from 1 species